ACUGCUUUUCUAGAUUUGGUAGCAUGGGCUGUUGUGCUGGAGAGAACGAGAGCUACGAAGAGACUAGAAUGCCUCUGACUUUUUCAUAGGACAGUUGGCCGAGGAAGACACUUAAAGAUGAAGUGCUUAAUUCAAGGUCACAGAAUGUCGGGGAUGGACCUCCAGAUUUCCUUACUGACCUGCAUUAUCUUGUGGAUACCUGAGUGAAUUCCACACCACCCAUUUUAUAGAUGAAGCCACUGAGACGUGGAGCAACUGACUGAGUAGUCACUGCCCCACCCCUGCCUGGAGCCUCACACAUGACUUCUCUUAGUGACCACAGGUUGGUUGAGGGGUUUAACAAGGCUAAGAAGGUGAGACGUGGUCUUGUAACACAGUGGUUAAGAAUGUGACUUUGGAGCCAGCCUGCUAGGGGCUGAAUUCUGACUCAGCCAUUUAUUAACUGUGUGACCUUAGGCUGGCGUGCAAUGGCGUGAUCUCGGCUCACCACAACCUCUGCUUCCCGGGUUCAAGCGAUUCUCCUGCCUCAGCCUCCCGAGUACCUGGGACUACAGGCACUCGCCACCAUG
rnacentral:antisense_RNA from 1 species